rnacentral:lncRNA from 1 species
CAGGACAGCAACAUCGAAAUGAGUAAAAAGUUAACAAAGGCCUGUCAUUUUGGGAUGUCAACACUUAAUUAAUGCACACCCGUUGGGACGAAAUAAAAUUAGAUCAUUCAAACCCCGUUACAUAUUUUUUUAACUCAAUUCCGUAUUUCAAAACAAAUCAUUUCUUGAAAUUUACAAUCCAACGAUUCAUUAAAUAAAACCCAGUGGCCA